UUCAAAUUGCAAACGAGCGGUAGAGGAAUCGGGGGAGGAAACUUGGAGAACGGAAGAGGAAAGUAACCAUCUCCUCUUCUUGAGUAUUUUGCUUUUAGUCACCGUUGAGGCAAGUCGUCCAUAAAAAAAGCAACCGCCUCUCCCGCUUUCGCGCGCUUCCAGCCCUCUACCACAGCGAUCGCUCGCUCUCCGGCCGGUGCUCUCCAACACCAUCGCUGCUUUCUCUCCAGCCGGCGACCUCCACCACCACCGUCGUGUCCCCAAGAGAACUUCUCCAGAGCCAGGGCCGCUGUCAGAGAAGAAAGAGGAAGGAGAAAGAACAUGAUCAUCGCCCUUCCCAGAGCACACGUCGCCUCCCUCAACGCCUCUUUUUCCUCAGGAGAUCGCGUCUUCUGUUGCAAUCGACCUAUCUCCUUGGUUCGAUGGUUUCGGGAAGACGAAGCUGAGACCCCGGCCGUCGAUCAACUUGCUGGACGACAGGUGCCUUAUGCACAUCUUCAGUUUCUUACCUCCACUCUCUGUUAGAUGCUGCUGCACCAUUAUUAGCAGGCUUGGAGAGACCAAUUGCCGUUGCUUAAGUAAAUGCUGACCAAUGCAGGCACCUUGCUUCAAAAUUUGAUGGCGAUGGGUUUCCAACUCUCAAGUUGUUUAUCAUGGUGUGCUAGUGGAUUAUACUGGUCCAUGACAGCCAGAGUUGCCUGUUGAGGGCUGCUAGUUGAUCUCCAUAUUCAGUUAGAUGCUGCUGCACCAUUAUUAGCAGGCUUGGAGAGACCAAUUGCCGUUGCUUAAGUAAAUGCUGACAAAUGCAGGCACCUUGCUUCAAAAUUUGAUGGCGAUGAUUAGAUUGAGGACAGGAGUGACUGCAUCUAAAAAGUUUUCUCGUAAUGCAGUGGGUUUCCAACUCUCAAGUUGUUUAUCAUGGUGUGCUAGUGGAUUAUACUGGUCCAUGACAGCCAGAGUUGCCUGUUGAGGGCUGCUAGUUGAUCUCCAUAUUCAGUUAGAUGCUGCUGCACCAUUAUUAGCAGGCUUGGAGAGACCAAUUGCCGUUGCUUAAGUAAAUGCUGACAAAUGCAGGCACCUUGCUUCAAAAUUUGAUGGCGAUGGGUUUCCAACUCUCAAGUUGUUUAUCAUGGUGUGCUAGUGGAUUAUACUGGUCCAUGACAGCCAGAGUUGCCUGUUGAGGGCUGCUAGUUGAUCUCCAUAUUCAGUUAGAUGCUGCUGCACCAUUAUUAGCAGGCUUGGAGAGACCAAUUGCCGUUGCUUAAGUAAAUGCUGACAAAUGCAGGCACCUUGCUUCAAAAUUUGAUGGCGAUGGGUUUCCAACUCUCAAGUUGUUUAUCAUGGUGUGCUAGUGGAUUAUACUGGUCCAUGACAGCCAGAGUUGCCUGUUGAGGGCUGCUAGUUGAUCUCCAUAUUCAGUUAGAUGCUGCUGCACCAUUAUUAGCAGGCUUGGAGAGACCAAUUGCCGUUGCUUAAGUAAAUGCUGACAAAUGCAGGCACCUUGCUUCAAAAUUUGAUGGCGAUGGGUUUCCAACUCUCAAGUUGUUUAUCAUGGUGUGCUAGUGGAUUAUACUGGCCCAUGACAGCCAGAGUUGCCUGUUGAGGGCUGCUAGUUGAUCUCCAUAUUCAGUUAGAUGCUGCUGCACCAUUAUUAGCAGGCUUGGAGAGACCAAUUGCCGUUGCUUAAGUAAAUGCUGACAAAUGCAGGCACCUUGCUUCAAAAUUUGAUGGCGAUGGGUUUCCAACUCUCAAGUUGUUUAUCAUGGUGUGCUAGUGGAUUAUACUGGCCCAUGACAGCCAGAGUUGCCUGUUGAGGGCUGCUAGUUGAUCUCCAUAUUCAGUUGAGAAGUGGGUAGAUCUUGGAACAUCGUGUCUUGGCCUCUUCAGAAUGGGAAUGAACGCCACCAAUCUUUCAUACAUUGCUCACAGGUACCCUUCUAUCUCUACUUUCUAAAAGUCAGAAACUACCCCACAGUAUCGAACCAUCCUUUUUUUUUGUUUACUUUUGGUAAAUUAUGAACUUUAGGUAGCUUUGAAACUAUUUUGAAGAUAAUAAAAAGCGAUAUGAAUGAAUAGGUUGUGGAUUGUAAAUGAUAGGGAUCAGAUCAACUCUAGCUUUCUUUUGGUAUUGCCUUUGGAAAGUGCUAAUAGUGCUACUAGCUUUUCGUGAAGGGCAGUAAGUAGCUCACCAAUUUCAGUGCCCAAAAUAAAACAUUUGAUAAGUAAUAAAACAUUAAUUUUCCUGUUAAUAGAAGCCAUCAAAUCCUUCUAAAACUUGUUUGAAGGAUCCUUGUCCACAACACAUUUAUGCUUUUAGUACGGGGGAAGUUCGAUCAGAAGGCAGUGAUUCUGCCCGACCCUACUAUGUGGUGGUUGGAGUUCACUUUGGCUCUCCUUCAUGAGUCAAGCCCGUCAAAUAGGUCGUAGGCUCGUUUUGCGUAAGAGAUAAUUAUAUCUCGGCUCGUCGAGUCCCCAUCACAAAACUUGAAUGAAUGUCGUUUAUGCAAGUUAAGUGGGGUCUUGAACUUGUGCAAAUCCAUGAACAAUUUGUUUUUUUCAAGGCCUACGAACAGAACCUUGAAGCACCUUCCAAGGAUGUGACAGAUCGGUAUUACAUCUAAGUAUCUCAUGUAUCUGGUUAAUCUAUUGUCACAUAAAAUGCAUUCUUUGGAACGAAAUGUGUUUUAUACGUCGGAAAUAAGUUCCAAAAAGUGUUGCAAGAAAACCCAAUGUUUGAACAAAAAAAUCCAAAAGAAAAGGAUGGCAAAAAAAAUGUGUUUUUUUUUGCGUCACUUUGUAUUAUUUGCAUUUAUUCUUAAGAGUUUUAAAUUUUUAAAAUUUUUCAAAGAUUUCUGAAGAUUUUCGUUAAAAAGCAACUUUGCCAUAUUAUAUGAGAUAAAAGACGCGCGGUUUAAUUCUUGUGAAUGAUAUUUGUGGGAAUGAGUUAAUUUGCCAUUUGUGAGGUGCAUCUUUGCCUCGGCGAGUUGUAGUUUAUUUUCUCAAACUGGACAAAAUGCGAGAAAAAUCAUGUUGGUUUAGGGCUCCCAUUUUUUCCCCAACCAAGGCUACCCAAAUUUCUCAAAUAAGAACUGCAUGUUAUGAUACUCUAUUCUGAUUUUGUCUUAAUAUUCCGGUCCUAUAAAUUAAUCUGUAUUUUCUUAAUAAUGUUUUCGUUGAGUGACAAAGUACAUGAAACUCCGACCUGAUUUCUAGAGUUUCAUUUGGGCGCAAGGGUAUGUUUGAUUACCAAUUAUCUUAAAGUCUUUAAUUUUUAGGUGGCAAAAGAUUGAUGGUGGUGCAUCAUGCUAAAGAUCUUAGGUUAAACUUUACUUUAUAUUGGCAAACCUGAUAUGGGAUAGAAGAAUUUGAAUCUAAACUUUAAUUAAGGUAAUUGAGAGAUCAGCCCGCUGGAUAUACCAAACGUCCAAACAAUUAAAAACCAUCGCUUUACCCGGGUUUUCUACCAAACCUGACUAUUAAUAUUGUGUUUGACGAAGUGCCCGUGUAUUAUGAAAAAGUGAGUUGAGGAUAGGCUUCGCAAUCGGUGAAGUUGAUUACUUUAAAGUGCGUUUGUUUCUAGUCUUUUCUUACCAACUGUUCAUAAAAAAAAAAUCUUUUCUUUCCAACUGAUCUUAGAAAAGCCCGUCUUUUUUGGUCCUCUGACUUUAUGCAUGACAAAUCCCUCAUAUAUUGAGGCUUUGUUAUUUUGUGUAUUUUAGCACAAUGUUGUUAUGGUUUAAUUUUAUAUAUAUAUUCGACACCUAGUCCAACAUGUUUUUAACCAUGCGAAUGCAAUUCCCUUUAUUAUGGGUUAGUAUCUUUUACACGGAGUCCUUAAAUCAGAUUUAAUUGGGUCAGCGUGCAAUUUCUUGUACACGGAUAAAUUGGAAAUAUUUAUGUUAGGCAUCAAUUUUGCUAAAAAGAUAAACCGAUUUUGGCGUUUAUAUAAGGUCUGAGUGUGUAUAUAUAAACUAUAUAUGUUAAUGGUGAGUCGUCCCAGCAUUUUGACGAUGUUUCAGACUAGCUUUUGUAAAAGUGUAUAUAUAUAUAUAUAUAUAUAUGAGGUAUGAAGUGAACAAUAAUUUGGCCUUAUUUUCAAAAAAAUAUUGUGGAUGCCUCGUAAAUCAAUUUAUACACUUUUUAUAUUUAUUCAGCUUACAUAUUUCAAACAAAGCUCGGCAUUUCGACGGGUACAUAAGUCUGGAUUAGAUAUGACAUACUGGGAAUGACAUGCUUACCAACCGAAUUUAAUAAAUAAACUUAUGUUAGGCCCAUUGUUACCGCAGUCCAACCCAAUCCGCGUACCAACCGAAGCCCACUCUUAAUUUUGACGGGUACAUUUCAUGUAAUGUGUGUAAGAUCAUCUCCUUAUCCUUGAAACCGUAUCUGAGACGGUUCCGAGAAGCCCCACUUGCUUACGUAACUUCUAUUAGUACAUAAGUCUGGAUUAGAUAUGACAUACUGGGAAUGACAUGCUUACCCUUUGUUUCCUGUUUCUAAUCUUUUCUUUCCAAAUGUUCAUCGAAAAAAAAAAAUCUUAUCUUUCCAACUGAACUUAGAAAACCCUAUGAUGCCCGUCUUUUUAGGUCUUCUGAAUUUAUGCAUGACCUAUCCGCAAUUGACAAAUGCAUCCACGCUUGGGUGAUGUAGAAUUAUGUUUGGAAUGACAUAACCCAUGAUUCAUCCGUAGAUGAUGGUUGUGAUUUUGGUAUUUUUGUGUAUUUUAGCACAUCGUGUGUUACGGUUUUAAUUUUAUAUAUAUAUAUAUAUAUUAGCAGUUUUCAGAUCACCAUGAAGUGGUAUGGUAGCAGUAACAACCUUCUUUUGUCUUUUAGAUCAAAGAAAUGAAUAUCAAAUAAAAGAUUCCUAACUAAAAUGGUUAAGCUGCUAGCACUCUGAAUCUGAAAAUGCUUUCAACUGCUUUUGUAGUUGUAUCUGUUAUUGGUUGCAGAUUAACUAUUUCAUUUUUUACUGCUUGAGCGUUUGUAUGUUAUUGCUGACUGUUCUUGCAUAUUACGUUUUUGUUUUUACAUGAGCCGUUCAUGGAUAGUUGGUGCCACAGCAACUGGGUUAUCAUUGUUAAUGCAUGACUAAUUGUGAUAGUAAGUGCAUCCUUAAUUCCAUCAUUGUUUUAGUGGUGUCAUUCAUGAUGAAGAGUUAGCGUCACUGAUGACAUUUACUGAAGCAUGUUGUGCAUCACUAAAUGCAAUUUUCUUGUAGUGAAGUUUUUUGGAUGUUUGACAAGUGUCAUAAAUAUUUACAAAUUUCUUGAACAUAAGUACACAUUUUUUUUGGAAUUUUUUAUAAAAUUUUAUUCUCCUUAUUGAUGCUUCAUACAAUUUUAUAGACAUUUUUAAAAUUAAUUUUUAAAAUUUAUUAAACAAGUUGAAAGUAAUAAGUUUGUUAUAUAGAUUUGGGGAAGUCUUGUGAACAUUUAUCUCUUUAUUGAUGCUUCAUACAAUUUUAUAGACAUUUUUAAAUUAAUUUUUAAAAUUUUUUAAACAAGUUGAAAGUAACAAGUUUGUUAUAUAGAUUUGGCGAAGUCUUGUGAACAUUUAUGUACUGAUGAAAAGUUUAUGUUCUUUUAGAUUUUCAUGAUUUUUUUAACCAAUCUUUGCGAGACUUUUUAAUCUCUUAGAUUUUUUUUUUGUUUGAAUUACCAUCAACAUCUAUAAUGACUUAAAUGGAUGAUUAUAUAUUUUUAUCUUGGAUGACAAUUUCCGUAUUUUUCUGAAUAAGUACUUCUCUAAUUUCUUGUAAAAUUUGUACAUAUUUCCCAAACAUAUUUGUAGACACUUCUACAAUUUUUAGACCGGAUAAGACCAUUGAUCGAACUUUAACAAU